AGCCUACCUCUAGCCCAACCACAUUCCACCUGAAAAACUAAGAACCCACUCGAUUGCUAAGCUAAACCAUUCUCUAAACUUAGUAUAGGCGAUAGAAAAGAACACUUACCUUGGAGCAAUAGAGACUCUGUACCGUAAGGGAAUGAUGAAAUAACAAUGAAAAACCAAGCACUAAAUAGCAAAGAUAGACCCUUGUACCUUUUGCAUCAUGAUUCAGCAAGAACAACCAAGCAAAAUGAAUUUAAGCUUGCCAUCCCGAAACCCAAGCGAGCUACUUACAAGCAGCUAUACAUGAGCGAACCCGUCUCUGUCGCAAAAGAGUGGGAAGACUUGUUAGUAGAAGUGAAAAGCCAACCGAGCUGGGUGAUAGCUGGUUGCCUGUGAAAUGAAUUUAAGUUCACCCCUAAUCUUCCUCCCCAGACACAACCCAACUUCCAUGAAAAAAUUAGGAGUAAUUUAAAGGAGGUACAGCUCCUUUAAAAAAGAACACAACCUCCCUCAGCGGAUAAGAGUUAAAUACUAUGUACUGUAGGCCUUCAAGCAGCCACCAAUAAAGAAUGCGUCAAAGCUCUAUAUUAAAAGAUUUUUCCAUAUAUCGCGACUCCCUCAUCUCUAACAGGCUAACCUAUUCUAAUAGAAGAAUUAAUGCUGAAAUAAGUAACCUGGCUCACGCCUCUAAAGCGCAAGCUUACAUUACAAAUUAUUAACAGCCUAUAGCUAGUACCACAACUACAACAAGACCCCGUACUACAUAACCUGUUACCCCAACACAGGAGCGCCCAUUAGAAAGGUUUAAAUCCACAAAAGGAACUAGGCAAACCCAGGGCCCGACUGUUUACCAAAAACAUAGCCUUUAGCCAACCAAGUAUUAAAGGUGAUGCCUGCCCAGUGACAUAACGUUCAACGGCCGCGGUAUCCUAACCGUGCAAAGGUAGCACAAUCAAUUGUCCCAUAAAUCGGGACUUGUAUGAAUGGCUAAACGAGGUCUUAACUGUCUCUUGUGGAUAACCAGUGAAAUUGAUCUUCCUGUGCAAAAGCAGGAAUACUACCAUAAGACGAGAAGACCCUGUGGAACUUAAAAAUCAACGACCAUUACUUACACAACUCAAACCUCCCAGGUCCACCAAAAUUAAACACUGGUCCGCAUUUUUCGGUUGGGGCAACCUUGGAGAAAAACAAAUCCUCCAAAGACAAGAUCUUCAUUCUUGACCAAGAGCAACCUCUCUACGUACUAAUAGCACCCAGACCCAGUAUAACUGACCAAUGAACCAAGCUACCCCAGGGAUAACAGCGCAAUCUCCUUCAAGAGCCCAUAUCGACAAGGAGGUUUACGACCUCGAUGUUGGAUCAGGACAUCCUAAUGGUGCAGCCGCUAUUAAGGGUUCGUUUGUUCAACGAUUAACAGUCCUACGUGAUCUGAGUUCAGACCGGAGCAAUCCAGGUCGGUUUCUAUCUAUGAUAAACUUUCCCCAGUACGAAAGGACCGGAAAAGUGAGGCCAAUACUACAAGCAAGCCUUCCCUAAAGUAAUGAACCCAACUUAAUUACCACCAAGGCACCAACUACUAAAUUCCAUCCCCUAGAAAAGGGCCG
rnacentral:rRNA from 1 species